rnacentral:tRNA from 1 species
AAAAGAUGUAUAGCUAAAUGGUACAGCAACAGACUUUUAAUCUGCUUAUUUUGGGUUCAAAUCCCAAUACAU